rnacentral:SRP_RNA from 1 species
CCGUGCUAGGUGGGGAGUUAGCGGUGCCCUGUCACCUGCAAUCCGCUAUAGCAGGAUCGAUGCUUAUACGAGGUUUUUAUCGGAUCUAUAUAAUAAUAUUGAACGGUGUUGAUGAUCCAAUCCUGUCGCAACAUUAAUUGGGUGAACUCCGUCAGGCCUGGAAAGGAGCAGCGGUAAACUUAUUUUAGUGUGUGCUUGCAGUUAAUUAGAUUUGAGCUAGUAAGGUAUUAGAUAUAUAUUUAUGAAAUUUCCAAAUAUAAGUGCACGG